rnacentral:rRNA from 1 species
CAGUCGCCGCGGUAAUACGUAGGUGGCAAGCGUUGUCCGGAAUUAUUGGGCGUAGAGGGCUCGCAGGCGGUUUCUUAAGUCUGAUGUGAAAGCCCCCGGCUCAACCGGGGAGGGUCAUUGGAAACUGGGAAACUUGAGUGCAGAAGAGGAGAGUGGAAUUCCACGUGUAGCGGUGAAAUGCGUAGAGAUGUGGAGGAACACCAGUGGCGAAGGCGACUCUCUGGUCUGUAACUGACGCUGAGGAGCGAAAGCGUGGGGAGCGAACAGGAUUAGAUACCCGAGUAGUCCCUGUCUCUUAUAC